rnacentral:tRNA from 1 species
GGCCCGGUAGCUCAGUUGGUAGAGCAGCGGAUUGAAAAUCCGCGUGUCGGCAGUUCGAUUCUGUCCCAGGCCACCA